AGUUAAUUAGCUUAUAUAAAAGCAUAUAUUUUGAAAAUAUAAGAAAGAAUAAUUUAUUAACUU
rnacentral:tRNA from 1 species